GACGAACGCUGGCGGCGUGCUUAACACAUGCAAGUCGAACGGAAAGGCCCUGCUUUUGUGGGGUUCUCGAGUGGCGAACGGGUGAGUAACACGUGAGUAACCUGCCCUUGACUUUGGGAUAACUUCAGGAAACUGGGGCUAAUACCGGAUAGGAGCUCCUGCUGCAUGGUGGGGGUUGGAAAGUUUCGGCGGUUGGGGAUGGACUCGCGGCUUAUCAGCUUGUUGGUGGGGUAGUGGCUUACCAAGGCUUUGACGGGUAGCCGGCCUGAGAGGGUGACCGGGCACAUUGGGACUGAGAUACGGCGCAGACUCCUACGGGAGGCAGCAGUGGGGAAUAUUGCACAAUGGGAGGAAGCCUGAUGCAGCAACGCCGCGUGCGGGAUGACGGCCUUCGGGUUGUAAACCGCUUUCGCCUGUGACGAAGCGUGAGUGACGGUAAUGGGUAAAGAAGCACCGGCUAACUACGUG
rnacentral:rRNA from 1 species